rnacentral:lncRNA from 1 species
UUUUUUAUACGACCGCAAAAAUUGAAAAUUUUUGGUCGUAUAUUGGUAUCACGUUGGCGUCGUCGUCUGCGUCGUCGUCGUCGUCCGAAUACUUUUAGUUUUCGCACUCUAACUUUAGUAAAAGUGAAUAGAAAUCCAUGAAAUUUUAACACAAGGUUUAUGACCACAAAAGGAAGGUUAGAUUGAUUAUAGGAGUUUUGGUCCCAACAUUUUAGGAAUUAGGGGCCAAAAAGGGCCCAAAUAAGCAUUUUCUUGGUUUUCGCACUAUAACUUUAGUUUAAGUGAAAAGAAAUCUAUGAAAUUUUGACACAAGGUUUAUGACCACAAAAGGAAGGUUGGGAUUGAUUUUGGGAGUUUUGGUUUCAACAGUUUAGGAAUUAGGGGCG